UACGUAGGCGGCAAGCGUUGUCCGGAAUUAUUGGGCGUAAAGCGCGCGCAGGCGGUUUCUUAAGUCUGAUGUGAAAGCCCACGGCUCAACCGUGGAGGGUCAUUGGAAACUGGGGAACUUGAGUGCAGAAGAGAAGAGCGGAAUUCCACGUGUAGCGGUGAAAUGCGUAGAGAUGUGGAGGAACACCAGUGGCGAAGGCGGCUCUUUGGUCUGUAACUGACGCUGAGGCGCGAAAGCGUGGGGAGCGAACAGG
rnacentral:rRNA from 1 species